AACCAGCUCUUCAAGUGGUCGGGAUAUUUAUUGGGCUUAAAGUGUCCGUAGCCGGUUUAGUAAGUUCCUGGUAAAACCAGGUAGCUUAACUAUCUGUAUGCUAGGAAUACUGCUAUACUAGAGGGCGGGAGAGGUCUGAGGUACUACAGGGGUAGGGGUGAAAUCUUAUAAUCCUUGUAGGACCACCAGUGGCGAAGGCGUCAGACUGGAACGCGCCUGACGGUGAGGGACGAAAGCCAGGGGAGCGAACCGGAUUAGAUACCCGGGUAGUCCUGGCCGUAAACGAUGCAUACUAGGUGAUGGCACGGCCAUGAGCCGUGUCAGUGCCGUAGGGAAACCGUUAAGCGUGCCGCCUGGGAAGUACGGUCGCAAGGCUAAAACUUAAAGGAAUUGGCGGGGGAGCACCACAAGGGGUGAAGCCUGCGGUUC
rnacentral:rRNA from 1 species